UACGAAGGGGGCUAGCGUUGUUCGGAAUCACUGGGCGUAAAGCGCACGUAGGCGGAUCUUUAAGUCAGGGGUGAAAUCCCGAGGCUCAACCUCGGAACUGCCUUUGAUACUGGGGAUCUCGAGUCCGGGAGAGGUGAGUGGAACUGCGAGUGUAGAGGUGAAAUUCGUAGAUAUUCGCAAGAACACCAGUGGCGAAGGCGGCUCACUGGCCCGGUACUGACGCUGAGGUGCGAAAGCAUGGGGAGCAAACAGG
rnacentral:rRNA from 1 species